AUUGAACGUUGGCGGAAUGCUUUACACAUGCAAGUCGAACGGCAGCACGGGGGCAACCCUGGUGGCGAGUGGCGAACGGGUGAGUAAUACAUCGGAACGUGCCCGGUCGUGGGGGAUAACGUAGCGAAAGUUACGCUAAUACCGCAUACGAUCUGAGGAUGAAAGCGGGGGACCUUCGGGCCUCGCGCGAUCGGAGCGGCCGAUGUCAGAUUAGGUAGUUUGUGGGGUAAAGGCCUACCAAGCCGACGAUCUGUAGCUGGUCUGAGAGGACGACCAGCCACACUGGGACUGAGACACGGCCCAGACUCCUGCGGGAGGCAGCAGUGGGGAAUGUUGGACAAUGGGCGCAAGCCUGAUCCAGCCAUUCCGCGUGCAGGACGAAGGCCUUCGGGUUGUAAACUGCUUUUGUAUGGAACGAAAAGGCUCUGGCUAAUACCUGGGGCUCAUGACGGUACCGUAAGAAUAAGCACCGGCUAACUACGUG
rnacentral:rRNA from 1 species